rnacentral:lncRNA from 1 species
UUUGAGAGUCAUUUUUAUUUCUUUCCAUGAACCUUCCUGCAGUGGACAAGACAGGGGUAGGACUUUUCCAACCCUAUCUUUAGAUCUGUUGCUUAAUACUAUGUACCUGUUUUUCAUUUCUAAUUCAUCAUUUUUGACUACGUAAUACAUUCACAUAAUUCAAGAAUCAACCCAGCCAUGUGCGAUGGCUCAUGCCUGUAAUACCAGCACUUUGGGAGGCCGAGGUUGGCAGAUCACUUGAGGUCAGGAGUUUGAGGCAGGCAGAUCAC